CAAUGGGACUUAAGCACAUAUUCAAGUGCUUUGGUGAAUCAGGGCCUAUAUGAAAAAGGAUGGGCCAGAUCCUGUAAGAGGAUGCUAGUAGAGGGAGGUGCCUUCGGGGAGUCACAAGGUUGCUCCAUUUCCUGGAAUAUUUUGAUCUCUGGACCAGACCACUUGGUAUGUCGAAAGCACCAGUACUACGCCCCAUCCAGUAAAAGUCAUUACCCUCAUUCAUUCUGAACAAUCUGCCUUGGGUACUGCAUGAUCUAUACAGGAUUUGGAGCUGGGUACACAGAUCAUUUGUACAUAUGGAAGUACCUGAGAUGUGCUGUGACUCUGCCCCUGGCAAAAAAGAAGCUCUGAAGUUUCACUCUGCUUGUCCUGUGCUCAUUUUGACAAGUGGGCACUCCAGAAUCACCAUGAACCCGAAACCAUAGAAAGAGCCCACCAUUUUGGACAAUAAGACCUCUUGCUGGAUGGAAGUUUUGCCUUGAUGCAUUUAUCCUUCACAAGCUUGGGCGCCAGGAAUUGAAGCCAGAUUGCCUGAAUCCCACUCCAGUGCUUUACCACAAGGCCAUCUUUCCUCCCUAUCCAACUGACCACAAAUUAAAGCUGGGUGGCUGUUGUUGUUCUGGAAACCAAAGGAUGAAAAGGUGAAUUUAACAAAUAAA